UAGUCCACGCCGUAAACGAUGUCUACUAGCCGUCGGGAUCCUUAGUGAUCUUGGUGCGCAGCGUAACGCGAUAAGUAGACCGCCUGGGGAGUACGGCCGCAAGGUUAAAACUCAAAUGAAUUGACGGGGGGCCCGCACAAGCGGUGGAGCAUGUGGUUUAAUUCGAUGCAACGCGAAGAACCUUACCAGGUCUUGACAUCCUCGGAAUUUGGCAGAGAUGCCUUAGUGCCUUCGGGAGCCGAGUGACAGGUGCUGCAUGGCCGUCGUCAGCUCGUGUCGUGAGAUGUUGGGUUAAGUCCCGUAAACGAGCGCAACCCUUGUCCUUAGUUGCCAGCACGUAAUGGUGGGAACUCUAGGGAGACUGCCGGUGACAAAACCGGAGGAAGGUGGGGACGACGUCAGGUCAUCAUGGCCCUUACGACCUGGGCUACACACGUGCUACAAUGGCUGGUACAGAGGGUUGCGAAGUCGCGAGGCGGAGCUAAAUCCCUUAAAAGCCAGUCGUAGUCCGGAA
rnacentral:rRNA from 1 species